GACGUUAUACUAUAUCAUCAUAUUAAGUAAUUUAUAAUUUUGUGUGUGUGAAGCUAUUUUCAGCAAAAUUGUUUUAUUUUUCCACUGGACUUCCAAUGCUUUCUGCAUUGUCGAAGUUCUAUUUCUGCCAGGUUUUUCAGCAGUUCAGAUCUGAAUGGCAAGUUAGUGAUGUGAAGAAGCAAAGACCAUGUGGCUUCAUUCUGAUGGCAGGUACAUACCAUUUCCAGACAGAGCUGCAGCAGCUACUCCGGAUGUCUAGAUGGGAUCCUCAGAAGUAGGAGAAAAGAGUAAGAAGUCACAGAUGCAGGCUGCCUCAGGAGGAAACUAGGAAAUACAUGCCUCAUCCAUUUGCCCUGUCUUCUGAUGCCAUCCAUUGGUCAAAAACAAGGAAGGUGAGAGGGCAAAGUUGUCAACUGGUGCAAGUCAACUUGUUUGAGAAGGUGAGAUGAGAAGGGUCUGAGAUCUAGCCAAGCCCAUACACCAUGACUAUUCAUCACUGCUAUUUAAACUCAUGAAAGUUGAGAGCAAUGACUUGGUAAUUCCGAAUUCACCUGCCGAGCUCAUCUAGUCAUUAUGUGGAACUUUGCAAUGUCCCACAUUACACAUGCAUCUGCUGCACCGUCAUUUACAGAUGCAAUGAGAGAAAACCUGUUAAGAUGAGUCUUUGGGAGAAGAAAAGGCAUAUAACAAAUACAAAAAUUAAAACACUCAGGAAUAAGAUGUAGAGAAGAGAAACAGUUUUGUCCUGGUACAGCAAGACUCUGAACUGCUAUCAAUCUUUGACUAGAGAUUGACUUGUCAUAUGAAAUAAGGAACAUGGAAUAGGCUAUACAUCUCAGAGGAGAAAUAUGUUUAAGAGAGUAAAUGAAUAUUUUUUCUAAAUUUAAUUUUCCUUUUCAAAGCAAUGUUAAAAUAUACAAAGGGGAAGAAAAUUACAGAGAAUUUCUUAUGAUUCUUGUUAAAUAUGUUGAUUUUUAGUUGCUCCUGCCAUGUAACAAUGAAUACUUUCACGUGUUUGGAAAAUAAACAAUGCCAAAUGUAAGUAUGUCAUGUUUUUACAGGAUCAUUAGCCAUAUUCUAUUAAAUAUAAUAAUUUACUAUAUUUUUGAGAAAGAGAGAGAAACAUCAUGUAAAAUCAUAAAAGACUUGGAAAACCAUAAGAAUUUCUGCUUUUUGUAAAAUGGUUUUAAAAUGUGCAUGAGGAAACAUCAGAGUUAUAAAAAAAAUUGAUGUGGCAUCAUAGAAAAAUCUAAUUUAAAACAUAUUGCUUUGUUAGACUGCAAUCAUCUUAAUAAUAUACUCAAAGAUAAAUGAAAAUAUAUUUUUCAGGAUAAGGUUUAGCAGGAUGCUGCAUCUGACACCGUGAUUAUUGAUAGUGAUGGUAAAGUUCAAAACAUCAAAAAGUUAAAAUAUCCUGCCGAAGUACCAAAAAUGGUGGAGACGAAGUGGAAAAUUAUGUGAAAUGUUAGGGAUGUUUCAUUCCAGUACCUUGGCCUCAUUAUAUUAUCAGCUAAAUAUAAAGUACAUAGACCAGAUAAAUGUCUCAUUAAGUACUUCACAGUUCUUUCUGGGAACUUGGUGGUUGUCCUGAAAAUGAAAAAUAGAGAAGUAUUUUAUGUGAAAAUUAUGGUACAAAAAGUGUUUCAGUGAAAGUUUUUAUUAACUUGCUGAGUGUGGUAAGGCAUGAUAGUAGUUAUUUUAUUAAUUGCUUUUACUUAAGAAAGAGAAAGACCUAGUCUACAUAGAAAUUUUAAGACAAAAUAUUUACCCUAUUUCAAAUUCAGGUACAUUAUCAACUUUUGAAGUCUGAUACAAAUUAAGAACUUCCCACUUCCAUUUUUGAGAGGACUUUCCUCAAAUAGCAUUUGUGAGCUUAAUUUGACAUUUAUUUCUCCCUAUAUACACUCACGUAUUAACAUAUAGGAAACAAUAAAUUUCAUGUUAAUAUUUACCUAUUUCUGGUUUUCACCUAAAAGAUUUAUGUGAACACAACACAAGAGGAUUAU